rnacentral:rRNA from 1 species
UACGGGGGGGUAAGCGUUGUUCGGAAUUACUGGGCGUAAAGGGCUCGUAGGCGGCCAACUAAGUCAUACGUGAAAUCCCUCAGCUUAACUGGGGAACUGCGUGUGAUACUGGAUGGCUUGGAUUUGGGAGAGGGAUGCGGAAUUCCAGGUGGUAGCGGUGAAAUGCGUAGAUAUCUGGAGGAACACCGGUGGCGAAGGCGGCAUCCUGGACCAAUAUUGACGCUGAGGAGCGAAAGCUAGGGAACAAACGGG